CCCCGCUGUUCCUAAAAGAAAGAUUAAGGAUUUGAGUUGGCCUGACGGAGAGAUCUUCCAGGCGACUCCGGCCCAUGGAGGAUGCAGAGCAUCACAUCAGAUCAAACAUUGAUAAACCAGUACUUUACCAGCGUUUUAUCAAUAUCUUUAAAGGACGGGGAGUUUUUGCCACUGAAUUCAUAUCCAAAGGAGACUUUGUUGUGGAGUACCGAGGUGAACUGCUUACACAACAGGAGGGCGAGGUCCGAGCUGAUCAGUACAAUGAUUCUGCAAAGGUGUUUCUUUUCCAUUUCCAAUGGAAAGGA